rnacentral:rRNA from 1 species
UACAGAGGUGCCAAGCGUUAGGCGGAAUCACUGGGCUUAAAGCGUGUGUAGGCGGGUGCCUAAGUACCUUGUGAAAUCCCCCGGCUCAACCGGGGAACUGCUGGGUAUACUGGGUGCCUUGGGUCAUCUAGGGGCUGCCGGAACAAAUGGUGGAGCGGUGAAAUGCGUAGAUAUCAUUUGGAACGCCAACGGCGAAAGCAGGCAGCUGGGGAUGCACCGACGCUGAGACACGAAAGCCAGGGGAGCGAACGGG